AGCAGGAGAUCAACAUGGGCACACCUGCUGUUUCCAAGUGUGAAGAUUUUCGGUGUGUCAACUUGAAUACCUAAAAGCCUCCUCAAGCUCAACGUUACCCAUUUUGUGUAGCACGUGCAAGAGGGCACCAGGUUCAGACAAGAUUUCCCAGAAGGCUGUGGGGAAGGAGCGGCUGCCCUCAGUCACCUGACCAGAUGCCAGAAGGCAAUUGGUCAGGUGACAGUUUAAAAGCAGGAAGGAAGAGCUAUGGUCUGCUGUCUAAAGCACAGAAGGCAGAUACCCUGUGGUGAAAAAUCAGGGAAGUUGCUGACUGAAGAACAAAAGACUAACAAUGAAAGGAAGUAGCUUGCGAUUCAGAAUUCAGCUGGAACAAAUCAAGAAGACUGAAGGAUGCAAGUUUGAAACCCAUGGCCUGCAGCUGUGAAUGACAUCAAGGUGUGAGAUUCAGAAGGCAUUUUCCUACAUAUUGCAUUUUUUCCAUUCUUAGAUGUAUUGAGAUUUAGAAAAGUUCCAUGUGGUUUCGUGAUGACUACUGACUGCACAUUUACAGGGUAUGUGAUGCUUGUGCAAAAUUCAGAAUAUUGAUUAUUUAUUCAAAUUAACAAGGGAUUGGUAGAUAAUGAUGAUUUUUAAAAAUCAGUUGAAGUUAUGUGUGCAAUGUUACUAUGUAGAGUAAUACAUUACCUCUUAAAAGCAACUUCUUAUCGACUGGAAGAAGUACUGUAAUCCCUUACAGAGGUAACUUGGAACUGUAAUCGAUGACCUUCUAAAAGCCCCUUUGGCCAAAAUGGUGUUUAGGUCAUUUUUGAUCUUUUUCUAUGGAGUGAAGCACUUGACGAAAUUGAAAAACAAAAUGAAUUUGAUUGAUUUAGACACUGUACUAUUUUGCCAAAGAGUAAGAGCUUCCACCACAAAAAAAGAAAGAAAAACAACGUAUUUUUCUAGCUUUGUAACUUCUUAAAUUCACAAUAAACUAGGCAUAAAAAGGUCUUCUGGAACAUUUGUCGUACAACGUUUUUGAUGCUUUUAUCAAACGGGAGCACGGUGCCCCAUGAUUCUUAGUGUAUUCUGAGUCUCUGCGACUUUUUUCUAUCCCCUGCGCUCCUUUCAAAACAUGUUCCCAAGGUCAGACGCCACCUCUCCGUUUUAACGGUGUCCUUGUAAUCCCACACUGAGGCAGAACCGCUCCUAUCAGCCACCUGCAGGCCCGGCCAGUCUCCUGCUCCCUGCUUGCACUCUCCCUGGGUAAAUACAGCAGGAGUGUUCAAGCCCAGGUCAACCUGACCCUCCUGUGACCUGCUGCCCGGUGCUGCUCCGCAGUCACUCUCGCCAGCAGGCUUAUUAAUCUCCCCUCUCCAGGGAUCCCAGAGUGUAGGGACUCCUCUUUCAUGGCAAAGCGAUACCAAGUCCUGUCUCUUGGGUUUUUACUCUCUGGAGGACUUGCUGCCAAUAAACAGAUUGUUUACGUACUACUGGGUCAAGCUGAAUGAAAGCAUUUCUUUAUUCCGAUUCCAAACUCUUCCAAAUGGAAGUCAGUUGUAUUUACAUUGCUGGAGACUCCGUCACUCAUAAAACAGUUUAGCCAUUGUACUAUUUUGCAAAAGUAAUAAAGAACUCGGAAGAAAAAAUAAGAAUACCAUCUCAUUCUCUUGAACCCAAAAAAAUAUUUUUAAAACUCAGUAAUUCACCACUGACAAAAGGAGAACCUAGUGGUGUAAAUGUAGCAGUUAUGGAAUAAAAACAUUUGUUUUCCACACAUUGUGAGUCAGUUAAUUGAUGGAGUGGUUAUUGCUAGGUACAGUACUUUCUGUCCAAUAGAUAAGAAGGCGGAGUGAGGAAGAAAAGGCACCAACUAACCUUGCUGAAAUCCUGCUGCAGUACUUUCUUUUUUAUUCCAGCAGGCCAGUCAAUUGGCAGCAAACGUGUGAUUCAAUUGUUGAAACGGAGACACAGUUCUACAGCUGGGCCUUUAUUGCAGCACCUCCCCACUGAGAGCUGGUGUGUGGUGAGUGUUCUGGCGCACUAUGGCUGGGGCUGCACAU